GACGAACGCUGGCGGCGUGCUUAACACAUGCAAGUCGAACGGAAAGGCCCUGCUUUUGUGGGGUGCUCGAGUGGCGAACGGGUGAGUAACACGUGAGUAACCUGCCCUUGACUUUGGGAUAACUUCAGGAAACUGGGGCUAAUACCGGAUAGGAGCUCCUGCUGCAUGGUGGGGGUUGGAAAGUUUCGGCGGUUGGGGAUGGACUCGCGGCUUAUCAGCUUGUUGGUGGGGUAGUGGCUUACCAAGGCUUUGACGGGUAGCCGGCCUGAGAGGGUGACCGGCCACAUUGGGCCUGAGAUACGGCCCAGAGUCCUACGGGAGGCAGCAGUGGGGAAUAUUGCACAAUGGGCGGAAGCCUGAUGCAGCAACGCCGCGUGCGGGAUGACGGCCUUCGGGUUGUAAACCGCUUUCGCCUGUGACGAAGCGUGAGUGACGGUAAUGGGUAAAGAAGCACCGGCUAACUACGUG
rnacentral:rRNA from 1 species